GUGGGGAAUAUUGGACAAUGGGCGAAAGCCUGAUCCAGCCAUGCCGCGUGAGUGAUGAAGGCCUUAGGGUUGUAAAGCUCUUUCAGUAGGGAAGAUAAUGACGGUACCUACAGAAGAAGCCCCGGCUAACUUCGUGCCAGCAGCCGCGGUAAUACGAAGGGGGCUAGCGUUGUUCGGAUUUACUGGGCGUAAAGCGCACGUAGGCGGAUUGGUCAGUUAGAGGUGAAAUCCUGGAGCUCAACUCCAGAACUGCCUUUAAUACUGCCAGUCUAGAGUCCAGAAGAGGUGAGUGGAACUCCUAGUGUAGAGGUGGAAUUCGUAGAUAUUAGGAAGAACACCAGUGGCGAAGGCGGCUCACUGGUCUGGUACUGACGCUGGGGUGCGAAAGCGUGGGGAGCAAACAGGAUUAGAUACCCCAGUAGUCC
rnacentral:rRNA from 1 species